rnacentral:tRNA from 1 species
UCGCCGCCGGCCCGGGCACCCCCGGCCCCGACGUUCUCGACGUCGGAUGCGGCACCGGGAUUGCCGCCCGGCAGUUCCAGGCGGCCGGCUGCAGG